rnacentral:rRNA from 1 species
UACGUAGGGUGCGAGCGUGUCCGGAAUUAUUGGGCGUAAAGAGCUUGUAGGCGGUCUGUCGCGUCUGCUGUGAAAAUCCGGGGCUCAACCCCGGACUUGCAGUGGGUACGGGCAAACUAGAGUGCGGUAGGGGAGAUUGGAAUUCCUGGUGUAGCGGUGGAAUGCGCAGAUAUCAGGAGGAACACCGAUGGCGAAGGCAGAAUCUCUGGGCCGUA